GUAUAUAAGCGACUCUUCACGAAAGGUUGCAAGUAAACAAACGCAACCAUUCAGGAAAGAUUGCAAAAUGAAUAAAUGCAACCUUUCGUGAAAGAUUGUAAAUUGAACAAGUAUAACCUCAAAGGUUGUCCUGAAGAGACACGUAAAAUUCAGAAUAAUAAUAAAAAAAUAGUAAUUUUUUAAAAAAUAAAAUUCAGAAUUUCAGAAUUUCCUAAAUUCCUUAAUAAACAAAAAAAAAACCUUUAUACUAAUCAAUGUUAAUAAGAUAACUGUACAACAUUAAAAAUACAAUGGGACUUCAUAAUUUCCUAAAUUACUUAAUUAAAAAAAACCUUUCAACUAAUAAAUGUUAAUAAGAUAACUGUACAACAGAAAAUAAAAAUAAAUGGGUUAGUGUUAAUUAAAUCGCGGGCGCACAAACGUGCUAAGUGCUAAGUGCACCUAAUAAUUGUACACCCGCACACGGGUAUUGUAAAGUCUAGCUCACAUCCGAACCUUUUCUUUGAACGCACUAUAAAAGGGUCAUACUUAUAAAUUGGCUCAUCUCCUCCAUUCCUAUGUGGGACAAGAAAAAGCAUCUUUGUUUGUUUUACAAAUAAACAACCAACACUUGUUCAUCAAAGUUUUGUGAUCAUGCUUAUGAUUUAUGAUGUGUGAAAAAUCAAAGUCAGAUCUUCUAAUUGAAUAUAUAUCUCUUUUUUCUUUUCUUUUUUGCUGAAUAUUUCUUGUAGGACCUUCAAAAUUUGAAGUUCAUUAAUUUUAGUUCAUGCCAAUCACUGGUUUGUACGCCGAACCUCGAUGGUACUCCGAAUCUCAAGAAAUUGGAUCUCAGUUGGUGCAAAAACUUGAAGCGUGUCCACGAAUUAGUUGCAUAUCAUGGCAAAUUACAAUUUUUGAAUUUGCAUUCUUGCUCCAAACUUCAUCAUUUCCCCGAUGUACUCCGAACCAAGAAUCUUUUAUUUCUCAAUCUUGAUUGUUGCUCAAAAUUGCAAAGAUUCCCUGAUAUUCUAGAUAAAAUCAAAGGCUUGCGUAGACUUUCUUUAACCGGAACUUCAAUUGAGGAACUUCCUGCAUCCAUAGAAAAUCUUGUCUCUUUGAAAGAUAUAGAUUUAUCCCAUUGUAAGAAACUAGCAAUCCUUCCACCUAGCAUUUAUAAAUUAGAAAAUCUUGGGUAUCUUAACCUUUCGAAUUGCUCAAAACUAAUGAAGUUUCCAAAGAAGGAGGAGGAUUCUAGUGAUCCUUAUGCGGGAUUUCCUCAGUUACUUUAUUUAACCCUUAAUGAAUGCAAUCUAUCAGAAGUAGAGUUUCUAGAGAAUCCUUCAUGUUUUCCUCACUUAUAUCAGUUGGAUGUUUCGGGUUGUCAAAUUAGAAAAUCUUGGGUAUCUUAACCUUUCGAAUUGCUCAAAACUAAUGAAGUUUCCAAAGAAGGAGGAGGAUUCUAGUGAUCCUUAUGCGGGAUUUCCUCAGUUACUUUAUUUAACCCUUAAUGAAUGCAAUCUAUCAGAAGUAGAGUUUCUAGAGAAUCCUUCAUGUUUUCCUCACUUAUAUCAGUUGGAUGUUUCGGGUUGUCACCAACUAAAAGAGAUUCUCAAGAUUCCAAGGAAAUUGCACGCUCUGAAAGCAAUUGAUUGCAAAUCUCUGAGUAAAAUUCCCUCCGACAUACAUCAUGUUGAGUAUGCUUACUUACCUUUAUGUCCUAAACUGGUCAACAAUGGAUCGACCAUGAAUGAUUUGGUCAACCUUGAGGUUAGACUCUCUCUCUCUCUCUCUCUCUCUCUCUCUAAAGGCUGAAAAUCUAGAAUCGGCCGGCUAAUUAAGAAAAGCAAAUAUAUGGAAAGUGAUUUGUGCAUAAAUGAUAUUCUCUCUAUUUAUGGAACUCUAGUUGCUAUGGAAUUAUAAGGAUCAUCCAAUGGAAAACUUCAAUAAUACAUGUUCAUCCAAUUACAAAAUCUUCAACCAUAAAUUAAUUAUUUUCACCAAUUAAUUACAAAACAUCUUUGUAAUGCUAUUGCUAACUAUAGCUUAACUCUAGGACUACCAAUUUUUUUUUUAGUACUACCAACUUAACCGAUUGAAACUUCUCUUUUUAUGUGCCAAUUUGGAAAAGCUAUCUGACGGCUUACAUGUAUGACAGCAUUUUUAUCCCAGAGGCCAUUUUCUUCUAUCUGGAGGAGAGAUGCCAUGGUGGUUGCUCCCUAAUAAAGAGGGUUAUUUAUCUUUCACGGCUUCAAAGGACUUGUAUAAGAAGAUUGUGGCAUUAGUUGUUAGUGUUGUAUUUCGCAAAGAACGCAAGAGCGGUCGUCAAUUUUAUCUUGAAUCAUUCGUUAAUGGCAAAGGGAUAAUGUGUUACAAUCAUGGUGAUUUUCACUAUCUAGUGUCAUGUUUGGACCAUGUGUGGCUUGACCGUUGGGAACCGUGCGAGCUAUGGGGAGGACUAGAAGAUGCCUUUGGCGCAAAUGACAGGUGCCAAUUCCAAGUUAUGAUUUCAGCAAGAUGGACCGGUGCAAUUGUGACAAAGUGUGGAUUCCGCCUAAUAUGCAAUCCACUAGAGGAGGAUUUGGAGAUUUUGCUUAAAGAUGAUCAAUUGCUAGAUCCAGCUUUAGUUUACGAAAUUCAGAAUGAAGAUUGUCAAACAAGUUUAAAGGAAGCUGAUUUUGCCAAACCAGGCCUAGCUACGAAGGACACAUCCCCAGUUGAGGUCUCUCUCUCUCUCUCUGCAUGAUUGAUACACAGUCUAUGUUGAGUGUUUGUGUGUAUAUUUCAAACGCUAAAAAUGCUAGAUGAACAAGUUGAGGUCUCUCUCUCUCUCUCUCUCUCUCUCUCUCUCUCUCUCUCUCUCUCUCUCUCUCUCUCUCUCUCUCUCUCUCUCUCUCUCUCUCUCUGCGUGAUUGAUACAGAGUCUAUGUUGGGUGUUUGUGUGUAUAUUGCAAACGCUGAAAAUGCUAGAUGAACAAUUAAUAUAAGGUGAUUCUGCACGCAUGAACAUGACCAAACAGACAAAGAGGAAGACAGUUCAAAUGAAGCAAAAGAUUUGCAAAAUAGUAAAAUGACCACACGGGAAGAUAGUUCAACAAAUUACUCCACAUAAGGAAUGAACAUGGUUGACCUCUCUCUAUCUCUCUCUCUUUGUGCGCGCAUGUUGAUACUGAAAGGUGGGCACACUUUGUGGGUAUAAUAUAAAAGCUGAAAAUUCUAGACAGAUAAACAAAUCUAAUUGAGAGUGAUUCUGCAUGUAUAUGUAAUAGGGGUGGCUACAACACCUGCAAGGGAAUGAUUUGAUAUCCCAUGAGUAAUUUUUAUAAUGUAAGCAAGGAUCAAUGUCUAGUUACUGUAGAACAACUUUGGUUGAAUUAAAAAGAAUAUACUCAAAUCAAACUCUUUUACUUUAACUAUCAAAACUUGGGUAUUUCUAACAAUUUACUCGUUUAACAGAGGUGUAGGUAUUCCACACUUCUUCUUGAUUUCCAAAAUGUUAGCCCUAGAGGAGAGAUACCGGAGGAGUUUAUCCUUGUUGAAGAUGGUACCAUAUCUUUCAUGGCUUCACAGGACUUGUAUUACAAGUUCCUAGGAUUGGCUCUCUGUGUUGUUGUCAGUGUAGAAGGUGGAGAAAAGGAAAUAUCUUUUGACAUCGUGCCGCAUAUUCACGGUCAAAGGCGGAAUGGGCUAUCGGGUACUCUUGGUUCAUUUGAUUCGGAUCAAGUGUGGAUUCAGUAUCUCAUACCAAAUACACUGUGGGGAGUGUUGGAGGGAGAAGUUGAUUUUGGGCAAUUUAACGAGAGAUAUUUACGAUUUAGCGUUAAACUUAGUGUAUCGGGUGGAACAGUGAAAAGGUUGGGAUAUGUGCUUCGUUGCACACGACUAGAGGAUGAUUUAAAGGUAAUGCUUGAAGACAAUCAAUUAGUGGAUCCACCUGUACUUUACGAGGAUGGCGAUCGACAUCCAUGUGAAACCGUAGCAGAGUUCAUACACAGAUUCAUAGGGAGAAACAGGAAGCCAGUAAGAGUGAAACAGAGUAAAUGGGAAGAGGCGAGUGCAAUAUGAGUUGGCUUGCAGAUGUUAAGGAAGCAAUCGUUAAGCCAGCAAAACAAAUUCGGGGUGUCUCAUGUUUCCUGAUACCCUAGGAUAUCUGUGUCCUUGUUGAAGUAACGGAUGGCAUUCAGUUCAAUAUCUCGUGUGAGAUUCAAAUAUAUGCAAAUCGAUAGAGGGUGACUUUGCACACAACAUUCAUCGCAAGUGGGUUUGUUUUUCCAUAUUUUCUUGUCAAUCGGAUAGUGAUCUCAUUCAUAAGUGUCACAUUCUGCACAGCAUGUUUUGUUACAUAUCAUUUACUAAUUUCAGCGGCAUUAGCACUUCCUUGGAAUAGUCUCGACAUGAGAUAUAUUCUACUUUGAUAUGCCAUCUUUGGGAAUGUUUCAAUGUUCUGAUCUAAGUUAAAGAAUAUUUCGAACAAUGACAGUUGUGCUUGGCUACAAUUGUAUCUGAUGUCUUGGAAUUUUAAUUUGGGUUGCAUGUAAUUAAUUUCAGAUUUUCCAAUUUUAUGUCCAUUGAGACCUCAGUCACCCGGGAACUAUUUUCCAGAUUUGCUGCCUUUUUUUUACGUACUUGGCAAGCACAGCUAAUGGCAAAGCUUCGCAACCAUUUUUACAUAUAUAUAUCCUUGUCAUUUUUUAAAAAAAAUUAUUUUGUUUAAUCUUACAGGUUUCACAUUAGUCAUCUACAUGGUGCUUUUCAACGAUGAUGAUUACGUAUAUUCGGCCAUAUGUAAGCCUACCAAAAGGUUUAGCGCACACUUUUCAUGUUCAUAUAUGCUAACGGGAAAUAUACUAGAGUAUUGAGCAUAAUCAAUGAAUCGCUAUCAUAUGGAGCUUUUUUAUAGACACGUUGGGAUCAUGGAUUCUAAUUUGGAUAAUUUCUCAAUGCUUUUGAAAAGUAAUUUUCUUUCCUUUUUGAUGAUUAAAUUUUGAAAUAAUAACAGAUCAAAACAGGAAACCGAUCCAGAAAUUGCUGACAUCUUAUAAAAUCCAAUUCUCCCACAUUUUGUUCCUGUGGACCACAAUCUUCAGCAGUGACUUAUGUGUUGCUCCACCUUUCAAGUUUAUGGACUUCAUUAUUCAUGUGCUUGUGCAUUAUGUUGACAUUAUUUAUGUGUGUGUGUAUAUAUAUUAUUUCAAUCAAGUUCUUCUCCUUUAUAUAUGGACUUGCGCGGUUGCCCGAUAUUGCAUUGAAAACAUUGAUAUAGUAGCAUUGAUAUGAAUGGGAAAAUUACACUAAAAGUCAUAAUGAUUGGUCCAAAAUACAAUCAAUUCCUAAAAAAUUAGAAAGAAGUACAAGCAGGUUCUAUAUAUUUUGAAAAAUGUGCAAUUUAAUCCUUUCGACGAGAUAUCUACCAAUAUUGCUAUUGUGGUAUGCUGUAAAUCUAACGUGAUUUUUUUAAUAGGAAUUAAGAAAAUAUGAUAAGUGAACGCCAGAUCAUAAAACAAGUCAAAUUUUUUUAUUUAAAAAAGAACCCAAAAGCAUAUCAAAAUUCGUAAAGAAGACAAGAAAACCAAUCACUUGCAUGCCCUCAAGACCUAUAGCACAUAUGGUAUUUGAACAAAAAUUUCUCGCAAUUAACUUUAAACUAAACUUGUUACAUAAUUGAAAUACUAGAAUACUUUUAUCAAACGCUUCAUUUUUUUAGAAUAGUUGAUAAUGAUUUCAUAAAAUUCUACAAAAUUGGGUUUUGUAAGGUCAUGACUCGUAAUCUCACCCUUUCACUUAUUAUCAUAUCGUUUCGAUCUUUCAUACGUUUUUUCUCUUGUUUCUAUCUAAGUGCUAGUCUUCCGUUAAUGGAAGUGAUAAGUCGUGAAUCAUAUGAAAUCAAAUCUUUUUUAUUUAUUAGGAGAGAAUUAUCGAGUCUUAUACAUAUUAUGUGAUUUUUUAUUUUGCCAUUUUUGUGUAGAAUUCUAAUGCAAUCCUCUGAUUAGUGGCCGUCAAUAAUUGCUAACGUGGCUAUCUACAUAGGGAAGGAGCUUAAAAUGUAUCACGAUAUUAUGCGAUUUCUUUGAAUUAGAAAACUUUAUUUGAGUAGAAUGUGCCCAAUGGAGCAAGAUCAUCGUUCUCUCUCCUCAUCUUUCUCUCUCCUGUAACCGACUCCCUUCGUUCAAAGCUGAGAAAACGAGAGAGAAAAACGGACAUCUUUUCUAGCCAAGCGAUCCGAGAAACCUCCUUCUUUCUUCCUCUUUCGCCCGUCGACGCGGCCCAUCGUCGCUGCAAGGUCAUCUGUACCGCCGCCGCCGCUUCUUUCGCCUUUCUUCUCAAUCGCGGUUACCGAAAGAGUUGGGAGUCGUUUUUCCUCACCGCCUCGUGUCUUCACUCCAGAGGACUUCCCCCAUCGCCCUCCCGACGCCUUCCGCCGUCUUCGCCGGCGCCGCCGUCUCCCGCCCGUUCCGAAGCCGACCAGGAUCCCGAGGCGCCGAGACCUUCCAGUUGUGAAGCUCUUCCGCAGGCUCCGAUUCCGAUUCUCUACCCGUACUGCAGCUCAGAUAUUGAAUCCUCCGUUGACGCGAUCCAUUUGAGUUUUUCUCUGAUUGCGAGCAUCUAGCGUUGGUAAGCUCGAACCUAGGUUGGAAUCUGAACUUGAAAUGGUUAAAAAUCUGCUCCUCAAUCAACUGCGCACCAUUCGUUCGGCGAAAUUCUUGAACUAAAUUCGUGUGGAUUAUUUUGACUGCCUAUUGAUUGCUGAGCACGAUUUCAGCCGGAUACAGUUGUUGCCGAGAUUGAAUCUGACCACUGCGUUCGUUGGUGGUCGCCGAAGAGGAAGUAACCGGAAAACGACGGCCUCCUUGUUAAUCUUCUAAACUCAUCGGCACCGUUUGUUCAUCGCCUUCCUUUUUUUAUUUUGUUUGUUUGGGUCAUGGUGCGGCCGUGCGUGUGAGUUCUGAAUCAGUGGUAGUCGAGAUGGUGGCCGACAGAGGCACUCCGGCGACGGCCAAAGGUAGUAGAUGACAAUGUACGGAUGCUUCUGCCUAAAGGCUUGAACAAUGAUCUUGCUUGCAUUUAUUUACAAGUAAGUUUGUUCGAUUCUGUGAGUAACAAAAGGAGAAAAAUCCAAUAUAUAUGCGUGCGUGUCUAUUAGGGGUGAGCAUGGUCCGAGUUGGUCUGAGCCACCCCUAACCCUAUGACCAACCCGUACAGUGUUGGUCCUCAAUUUUUAGGACCGAAGACUGACCCUAUUAAGCUUGGGACCAAGGACCAGACCGACCCAAUGGAUUCGGUCCGGUUCCAGGGUCAACUCGGGACUAAUCGAUAAUUUUUUUCGUCUUGUUUUUUGUACUCCCUAAAAGAGCAAACCUACAAAUUCAAAUUACACAUCCAUCCACAAUGCGACAUUAUAUAACUAAACUAUAAAUACCAAUACAUAUUCAGUAAAUUUAAGAAAUUUUGUACCUGCUAACCGCUCAUCGAGAUAUGGGACAAGAUAGGGUCCACAAUGCGGCGAGUGGGAUGUUGCUACUUUUGAUUUUGGCAAAUUGAAGAACAAAGAAGACAGAAUGGAAGAGAACGUACUUUGGGGAAGGAAGCCGUGAGGAGAUUUACGGCGUAAACUUUGCGCCGUUUUGGACGUCACGAGUCCGUGACUGUGAAAAGUCGUUGGUCCUCACAGUGAAGAACGUACUAUGGACUAUGGAGGAGGAGGCCGUGAAGACCUUUACGGCGUAAACUUCACGUCUUUUGGAAUUGGAUGCCAUAUGUCCAUGACUGUGAGCCUAAGGAGUCAACAGCUUUAACAUCAUUUUACUUAAGUUUUGUUUUUUAUCAGACAUUUUACUUAGGUUUGAAUAUAUAAAAGAAUUAUAUAUAAUAUAAUAUAAUAUAAUAUAAUAUAAUAUAAUAUACAAGGUUGGUCAAGAGUUGGACCAACCCAAAACUCUUAGGACCGAGGACCAACCCGUAGAGUGUUGGUCCUGGAAUUUUAGGACCAAGGACCGAUCCAGUCCCCUUGGGAACCGGACCAGGACCGGCAGGGUUGGGCCGGUCCAGGGUCGGUCCAGGGUCGACCCUAGACCGCUUCUCACCCCUAGUGUAUAUGUAUAGUUGAAAAUGGACUUAGGGUGUGUUUGUUUUGUAAAAAACAAUUUCCGGGAAAACGUUUUUCUUAUUUUCCAACGUUUGGUUUAUUUAGGAAAAUGAGAUAAUAGAAAAUGUUUUUCUUCAAAAACUUAAAUUUAGGAAAAUGAUUUUUCCUUUGAAAGAACUGGAAAACGUUUUCCAAAAUAUUUUAAGGCCCUUACUUAAUGGAAAAUUUAUUAUUAAAAAGAAUUUCUAAUUAAAAAUUUUAAAUUUGUUAUUAUUAUAUCUUUUCUUUUCUUUUUUCUUGUUUUCUCUUUUCUUUCUUUGCCUGUGAAUGUAAACCCUAACUCCUCCUCCCCUCUCUCCUUCUCCUUCGCCCCUUCCCUUUUGUCAUCGCCGCCUCCUCCAACCUAGCCCAUCCCGCGCUCCUGUUGGCUUCACUCCCUCCUCUUCCUCUCCAUCGGCGUCUUCUACACCCUCAAUCAUUUUUCAAAUGCAAUUCAAACACCGAAAAAUAUUUUCAGUCACGUAUCACCAAAUAAAGGAAAACUAACCGUUUUCUUGCCAGAAAACAUUUUCCAAAAACGUUGUGUUUUUCAUGAAACAAACACACCCUUAGUGUGCACUUAUGGUUAUAUUUGGGAUUGAGCUUGGUGAGGUUAAGAUUGAAAAGGGCUGGAUAUAGUUAGCCCAUUUAUGUCCAUGACUAGAUUCACGAAGUCCCAGUGCAAUUUCUAUGUGGACCGAGCCCAUCUUUAAUAUAAAGAAAAUGGUAAAUAACAAUAGAGAAUAAAUAAUAAUAUAAUAUAAUGAAAAUGGAAACUGAUUGUUCAGACACAAGAGAAAAAUAAAUAAAAAGGCAUUGAACAAUGACCCUCUUUAUUUUCGACCAUUCAACAAUCUUACAUCUGUCCUUAUAAAAGGGUGAGAGCACCGAUUAAUGCAAAACAACCAAUCACCCCAAAUUUAGGUGGAAAAGUAUUGAUGCAAAACAUGCCUCUAAACAAGUAUGGCCUUAAUCCGCGGCGCCCCGAGCUCCAUGAUCUCCAUUUUGCCCAGUCAUAGUAAAUCCUCUCUCUAUAUUGCCAAACGUCAAUUUUUUCAAUACAUAGGAAAUGAAAAAAAAUGCCAAAAAAAAGUUACUUUAAGAAGUGUUUCCCGAGAAAAGAAACAACUUUUUUGUGUUUCUUUUUUCUGCUUCAAUUUUGUUCCGGGAACAAAAAAACAAAAAAAGAACAGAAACGCAACUAAAUGCGUUUCUGUUCUUUUUUUGUUCCCGGGAACAAAAUCCGUACAGAAGUGUUCCAGAAACACUUCUUUGGAGCGUCUCCAUGCACGCCCAAAUUUUACAGUUCUUUGUGUUGAUUUCAAUGGAUGGAACAAGAGAGAUUCUAAUGGAGAGCAAUCUUUCAUUUCUACAUUAUUGAAAUUGUCUGCGUUUGGUGUAGUGGAGACUUGCAUAUAGAUGUAAGUAUCUUGGUCAACAUAGUCCAUGGUCAUCUCGUAUUUGAGCUCCCUUUUGAUUUUGAGAGCUAUUUGUAAAUGGCUUUAACAUUUUGGGCUCUUUUUGCACAUGGGUCUGCACCCCGUUGGUGCCCUGUUUGUGAUUUUCUUUUUAUCUGUCAAAAAGAGAAGAUCACCAUUAUAUUCUAGAAUUGAUAAGAUCGAGUGAAAUAAUGGAUAGAAGUUCUACGAUUGAAUUGUUUGCACCUGGUUGUGUUGGAAUUGAGCUUCUGUUAUCUAUCUAAUCCACACAUUCUACCUUUGAAUACUUUUAAAAACUUUGUUGGAUGGGAAAUUCUUCAUUCAUAAUUCAUAUUGUGGGCUCAGUCAAAUUUUGAUUGUCUUUCGAACUUUUCUUUACAUUGAGUAUCUCAACUUGCUUGAUCUUUUUAUGUGCAAUUCGAUCCUUCCAUCACCUACUGUUACUUGCUUCAUUGAAUGUAAUUGCAAUACGGCAAUCCUCCAUAUUAAGAGUUAAGAACUGAUGUGGAAAAGCAAGAGAGGGCACUCUACCCAGGUAUCGGUUGCCUACUGUACCAUUCGUGUGCCAUUGCUGGUAUUUUUGUUUCUCUUUUCUCCUCGUUUUAAAGUUUUCUAUUUUACCAAUUGAGUAUAUUUAAAUGAUAAGAUUUACGUGUUUAAUUACUACUUCUUAUGUGAAAGCGGAAAAAAUAGACUUCACUUUAUCAUAUGUGUUUGGUCACAUCAAAUAAGUGAGUCCAAUUUAGCAUGGCCACUCAACAUUUAAAGGAGCAAGUAGUGGUAGUGGUUGGUCACAAAAGGAGCAAACUCAGAAAUCAAGCUAGUUAGUGGAAUCAAUUGCUAGAGAAAAAGGAUGAUGAAAUUGAAAAGAAGGGUACAAGUUAAAGAGGAUUGGGCCAUCAGACUCUUGCAUUCGGUGAUGAGAGGUUCGACGUCCCAUGCUAGCAGAUCGCAAUCAGUAAGUGCACUUCUCAAAGCCCAAUUAUUGAAUUCCAUAACUAGUUUCAGUUCGUGUACUGAAGAGUUUCAUGGCUUCCGCAUAUGCUAAGAUGUCCCGCUGUGCAGCCAAAAAAACUCAGAAUUUUUGCAAAUCUUUUGGUAGUUUAAGAACCACACUUCCAUUCCUUUGAGACCCCUGAACGAGAUCUGCAGCUUUAUUGCAGGAUUUAACCAGACUUCUUUCAUCCGUCCGCAGUGAAGGAAGAGGUUUUCAACUGUUUCUAGGCUGUGUUGGCACAGAAGGCAAGGUGGCAGGUAAAUUUUUCUUUUAGUGAACAAAAUUCUUUUUUUUUAUGUGGGAAGUGCCUUUUGGCACAAACUCUAAAUGAAAAACCUGAUUUUUGGAGUGGUAAUCAACUUCCGUAUCAAAUGCCAUAAAGAUUUAGGGGUCUGGUAUGAUGAUGAUGAUGCUUGAUCUGUUUGCUGCUGAAUGUUUUUGUGUCUGAGAUGGUUGGAAGUGCUUCCCAGAAUAGGCCCCCUACUUAUAAGUUUCUCUUUCUCAUCUUCAUCUGCAAGGGAAUUGCUAAAACUUUCAUUAAUAAUCAGCUCAUCAAACAAAUUCUGUACGACGGUUUCCUUCCAUCUGGAUUCUUCCUUGUUGAUUAAUUCAGCUACUUUCUCUGGCCAGAUUCGCAGACCACCUUAAUUACUAUGAUCUUGAGCCAUCAAUCUUCUCUAAUGUCGAUAUCUUCACCAUUACUCAAAGGUCACCUCACAUCCAACCUUAGUGGACACUUUUCCCCCUUUCUCUGUGGACACUCCUAUUGAAGUGCCAUUCCUCUUUGAAGUCCAAAAAUGCAUAAAUCCUUUUGGACAACAUAAUCUGAAUGCAAUAUCUUAGUUCGCACUUAGAUGAAGUCUUCCUUAUGAAUUGUCGUUAGAAAUAUCUAAUUAUUUUGAUAAUCACUUACGCUUUGAUUUGAUAGGGAAUGAAAUUACUAAGCAAAUGUAGUGCUUAUAGGAGUAACUCGUUUUUUACUAGACUUUAUGAAGAAAUUUAAACAUACUUUGUAAAAUAAUUUAACUAGGAAAACUCAAAACUCAUUAAUUCAUCAAAUUUCUCCAAAUGCACUCUUUUUUUAAUCAAUCUUCAAUCCUACCGAGCAGGCUAAAAAACUAAGAAAUUCUUUAGAUAUAUGAAGUCAUCGAUACAUGGCUAAGCAAGGGUUGGUAAGAUUGAUUUAAAUUCAAUUACUUACUGGUUUUCCUAUCAAUAAGACUUAUGAUGAAGUCACAUGGAAUUCAUAAAAUCCAAAGUAAUUAGUAGGCUCGAUUAACAUUAGUGAUAUCUUUAACCUCAUUUGUGAUGUCACUAGAGACAAAAGUAGAAUAAGCUAAAUUCUAGAUGCAAUGCCCGUCAUAUCCAACCUUAGUGGACACUCCCUCUCCCCUCCUUCCCCCCUCUUUCUUUUUGGUUUGUGGACGCUUUACCAAUUUGAAGUGUUAUUCUUUAUCCAAGUCAAAAUGCGUAAAUCGACAACAUAAUCUGAAUGCAAAAUCUCAGUUCACACUUAAACGAAGUCUUCCUUGCCAAAUUUCAUUAGAAGUAUCCGAUUAUUUUGAUAAUGACUUACACUUUGAUUUGACAGGGAAUGAAAUUACUAAGCAAAUGUAGUGUGUACUAGAGUUUCUCGUUUUUGGCUACACUUUACAAAGAAAGUUAAAUAUACUUUCUAAUAUAGUUCAACUAGAAAAACUCGAAACUCAUUAAUUCAUCAACUUUCUCCAAAUGCACUUUCUUUUUAUUUUUUUUUAUUUUUUUUUAUGAAUCUUCAAUCCUACUAGGCAGGCUAAAAAACUAAGAAAUUCUUUAGAUAUAUGAAGUCAUCAAUACGUGGCCGAGCAAGGCUUGAUUAGAUUGAUUUAAAUCCAGUUACUUACUAAUUUUCCUUAUCAAUGAGACUUAUCAUCAAAUCAUGUGGAAUUCAUAAUGAUCGGAGUAAUUAGUAGGUUUGAUUACCAGUAGUGAUAUUUUUAACCCUAUCUAUGACAUCAGUGGAGACUGUAGUAGAAUAAGCUAAAUUCUAGACACAAUGCUUGUCACAUCCAACCUUAGUGGACAUUUUUACCUCAUUUCUUUUUGGUCUAUGGACACUUUACCCUAUUGAAGUGCCAUUCUUUUUAGAAGUCCAAAUGCGUAAAUCCUUUUGGACAACAUAAUCUGAAUACAAUGUCUCGGUUCACACCUAGACAAAGUCUUCCUUACGAAUUUUCGUUAGAAAUAUCUUAUUAUUUUGAUAAUGACUUACACUUUGAUUGGACAGGAAGUGAAAUUACUAAGAAAAUGAAUUCCACAAAAAGCAUCCAAUGGGAAAGGCCCUAUAGUGAGGGCCAAAUGCCCUACUGGAGCGAGAAAUCCUUCUAUUCAAAGUGAUGGGAAGUAAGCCAUUGGCGUACAAAGUAAUCAACUCAGAAAAAGAAGCUUGAUCUAAUUUUUCGUGGCCAAGCUACAAAUGAAAAUACACCAAUUUUUGGUGAAGAUAUGCUCAAAUCAAAACGCUUUCACCAGAUCAGCACAAGUAUCUACAUACUCGCAUGACUACAUCCUAUGUAGGAUAAUAGAAUUGUUUUACAUGUCAAAGCAAUCCUCUCAAAUUAUUCAAUAGGCCUUCCGUCUUAUUUUAGAUUUCUUCGCUCCCAUUAUAUAUUGAUUUGUCUAUGGUAUGUGGGGAAAUUGUCAAAAAAAAAAUCCUAAACCUAUAUACUUUUAUCAAUUUAGUACUAACUUUUCAAUUUUGCCUAUUGAGUCAUAAACAUUUUCACAUUUUGCCAAUUGAGUCAAUCCGAUUAAUUUUGGCUGGAAAUUACUGACAUUGACCGUUGGAGCUGACAUUGCAUUUUUAAAAAAUAUUUUAAUAAUAUUUGAAUUUUUUAUAAUUUUUUCCUUUUUUUAUUAACUUUUCUUUGCCUUUUUUUUUUUUUUCUAGUUCUUGGAUUUAGAGCCAGCAAGGUUUGCGGCCAACCCUCACCUAGCUCCAAAAACUGGGAAAAAAAAAAGUGCCAUAUUAGCGUUGGCAAUUCACGUCAGCAAAAGUGAAUGAAUCUAUGAAAAUGUUUAGAACUCAAUUAGUAUAAUUAAAAAAUUUAUGACUGAAUUGACUAAAGUGCUAUAGGUUUAGAAUGUUUUGGACAAUUUUUCCUUGGUAUGUGCAUCAUGAUAUGCUCAUUUUGACAAACAAUAAAGAAAAAAAAAUGGAAGUACCAUCCUUUUGCAUAAAAGGCAUAGCAAAAAUAAUGUUAAUUUUAACCAUUAGAAUAGGUUCUUCCGUGCCUAAAAGUUUGUAACAACUUCUUUUAAGAUGCUGUCCCAUUUGACACGUACAUUAUGGAUCUAAUUGAAUAACUUCCAGCACGAAAUCAUCGUAUUUCCAAGCGUGUUUCCACCACGCUUUCUCUUGAUUCCGUAGAUUUAACGAGGUAGAUAUUUAUGAUUAUUAAAGUGCAAAAGGUCUCUAAUAAAUCCAUCGACUUUGUGGAAGAGAAUAUGAAUUGUGGAGAUAAGAAUUAACUUUGGUCAUAUGCACUGAGUGGAAUGCGUUACUCUGCAGCUUGAACGCACAGUUCUAUCACAUGCGCAUAGUUUUGAAACAUAAAUGGUCGGGGUCACUUGGCUAUCAAAGUUUGAUCAUUUUUGUAGAGCGGGGUGCCUUAUUUCAUUUUAUUUUUCUGAAAGUGACAAGCAAAUAUUCACUUGGGUUUUUGACUAAGCCAAAAAAAGAAAAGAAAAAAAAAAGAUAUCAUAAGAACCGAGCUAGUGCAAUUGUAGUAUAAUUAGUCCUAUUUAAUUUACUUAGAUGCUUUUUAUCCCAUUUUCUGUAGUGGCUACAGUUUGAACCCAAAUCUGGUAUGACAAAUUGUAAUUUCAUUUGCUACAUCAGGCAUAGAUUUGGGUGACAUAAAAAUUCAAUUCUUCAACCUGCGUUAAAGGAUUUCAUUUUUUGGUCACUUUAAAAAAAAUGAAAGUAUGGUUAACCAACUUUUGAAGCAAGAGGGCGUGCAUAAGGGGUAGUAUACCGUUAUUUGCAAUAAGAAAAAAAAAAACAAACUCAAAAUGAUAUAUCUUUCAAGGAGACUAGUUAUUUAUAAUUUGCGAAAGAAGAAAAAUAAAAGAAAGAUGCAUUGGUUGUGAUGUCAUUUCCUGGAAGCCAAUGCAGUAGCUAACCUUUUUGAAAAGAGAUGAGAUGCUCUACUUUCCAUACAAGAAAAAGAAAGACAAAGGACUAAAGUAACUUUUAGGGGAGCCAAUGGAGUGGCUGACCUUUUUAGAAGGGAUGGGAUGACACUACUUUCCACGAAAGAAAAAGGAAAACAAAGGAGCAAAGAUACGGGUCCAUUAUCACACGCGUUUUCCCCGAAGCUAGUACAUUCGUCACGGGUCCAUCAUCGUGUACUUUCCGCAAAAGAAAAAGGAAAACAAAAGGACUAAAGUUAUGGAAUCCAUUUUCCCCGAAGCCAGCUCAUUAGUCACGGGUCCAUCACCAUGUGCACAUUUGUCACGGGUCCAUUAUCACGCCCGUUUUCCCCGAAUUUUCCCCGAAGGUAGUACAUUAGUCAUGGGUCCAUCAUCAUGUUCAUCUAAUUAAUAAUUCAGAAAAUUGGCCUCCAACGAGGGGCGCAUGAAAUACGUUUAUAGAAUUUUUCUUUUUCAUAUCGACCAAUCAAAUUCAUUAACAAUCUAACUAAUAAUAAAUUCAACUUACAUAAAGAUUUGUGCUGAUAAGACAUUUCGGUCAAAUGUAAUCUUAAAUGAAAAAAAGUCUUACUAUUAAUACUAUAGGUGCCUAAAGCACACGAUAAAAUCCCACGCUAAGAUUCGGCUCAUCCUUAAGCACGUUCAUUUUUCUGAAAUUCUAAUAUAAUUGAAAGGCCUAAUAAUAUUCUUUGUCGACCUUUGAAAAAGAAAGUCAGCCCCCCCGAUAUAUAAAGAAAAUGAGGAGAAGAUCAAAUGGUGCAAACGAAGGACCAAAUCUUAGGCAACUCAUUGCUCAUUGUUAACCUUCUCUCUUCCUUGAUUCUGAUGGGUUCUUUUUCCUCCAAGGCUUCUUCUUCCUCCGAGGAGGCCAAAAGGAGUUACGAUGUAAUGGCUUCUUCUUCCUCCGAGGAGCCCAAAAGGAGUUACGAUGUAAUGGCUUCUUCUUCCUCUGAGAAGCCCAGAAGGAGUUACGAUGUCUUCCUGAGUUUCAGAGGUCCAGAUGUCCGCAAUCACUUUCUCAGUCAUCUCUACGCAGCUCUAGAUCAAGUAGGGAUAUCCACUUACAUCGACAAUGAAGAGCUGAGGAAGGGAGAACAAAUAUCACCUGCACUUAUGAAAGCGAUCGAGGAAUCGCAAAUUGCAAUUGUGGUUUUCUCUGAGAACUACGCCUCUUCAACAUGGUGUUUGGAAGAGAUAUCGAAAAUCAUGGAGUGCAAGGAGAAAAAAGGCCUCAAGGUCCUUCCGGUGUUUUACAAAGUAGAACCAAGAGAAGUGAGAGGGCAGAAACAGAGCUAUGGAAAAGCUAUGGGUGAGCAUGAGAUCAAGUUUGGGAAGAAUUCGGAGCAAGUAAAGAGAUGGAAGAAAGCUCUCUAUGAUGCUGGCGGCUUGUCCGGGUGGCCAUAUACUGAUGGGUAUGUGCGAACAACUCUACUACUUCAAUUAGUCUGGAUCUAUUGAUGCUUGAUUUUCGUUUGGGAUCCUAUAAAGUCGGGUAAUUUUACCCCUCACUCUCAAGCAAACACACACUCACAACACAGAUCACGCCUAGCCAGCACACGAAACAGAGCACCAUGUGCGAGCGAAACAGAGCACCCCGUUCGUCCUCUCAAAGCCCCCCCGAUGGCCACGCCGCUGCCCGAUUGCUACGUCCCCACGCAGCCCCAACCGCGUCACCUCAGCCCCUCUCCAUCUCUCUGUAUCGAGGGGCUUAGGCGACGACUCGCGACCCCAGAUCUGGGGCAUCGAACCCAGAUCGGGGGUUGGGUAGCCUUCGACGAUGGUCGCCGGAGGCUGGCUACAACGGCUAAGACUUUCUUCUGUCACAGAGAAAGAUAGCAGGGAAACGGAGAGGACGGGCGACGUUGAGGGGCAUGUCACGAUCGCCGGGACAUACGGUUGCUAGGCAGGGGCGAAGGCCAGGCACAUGAUUUUCCCCUUUUGAGGGCCCGGGCACGGCUUGCCCAUUCCCUUUUUCGUUCUUUUAAGUAGAUUAUAAAAAUUAAAAUGCCAGACAAAUAUGAAUUUUUUUUCACGAAACCCAAAAUUUUGAAUUUGCAAAUUGAUAUAUCCUUUAAAAAGGAAAAUUGCACAAUUGUCCAAUAUAACAAGUCUCUCUGAUAUAAAAAACAGUGCAUAAUACAUAAAAAAAACUAACCUAUACUAAUCUAUAUUGACAUCUUAUAUCUACUAUAUAUAGUUGAAGCUGGGAGAGUUUUCACUCAUUUGUACACCAUGUGGCAGGGAACUUUGCUAUGUCAUUGCCACGUGGCAGCACAUGGUAGGGCAAGACAUAUAACAUAAUUGUGUCAUAUGGCUCAUAUAUGAUUAAUUAGCAUUAGUUUAGUGAUUUGUCAUAUAUCUUAAAAUACUUGCGUAAAAAAUAUUUUUUGUUUAAAAAAAAAAACUCAUGAUAGUAAAAUUAUGGGUUAAUACCUUAAAAAAACCCCCAAACUGGUACACUUGUGACAAAUUUACCCCAAACUAUUUUUUUGAUCAUGAAAAACCCCAAACUGGUACACCUGUGACAAAUUUAUCCCGACUAAUUAUAAAAAACCCUAAACUGGUACAUUUAUGACAAAUUUACCCCAAACUAAUUUAUUCGACCACAAAAAACCCCAAACUGGUAAAUUUGUGACUAAUAUACCCUCCGAAAAAUUAGAUUAAUACCAUAAAAAAAUCAAAAAAAUUAUAAACUAUGACAAACAGAGUGUAAAAUCCCAAAUUGAUAUACCGGUCAAUUGUCACGUGUUAUUUAACUUUAUAAUUUAACAAGAAAAAUUAACUAAAACUAACAGAGGGUAAAUUUGUCACAAGUGUACCAGUUUAGGGUAAAUUUGUCAAAGGUAUACUAGUUUGGGGUUUUUGGUGGUCAAAAAAAUAGUUUUGGGGUAAAUUUGUCACAAGUAUACCAGUUUGGGGUUUUUUAAGGUAUUAACCCUAAAAUUAUCAACUUAAAUUGAAUCUUUUAUUUCAGCUGAUCUGAAUUAAAAAAAAAAGAAAAAUAAGAAGACGAAAAUAACAUGUUUCUUGCUUGUCCCUCAGGCUUCUUCAAAUUAGUCUCUGUUUCAAUUACAUCAAGCCUUUCAUUGAUCAAUAUGGGCACCUCUCUCGCAAGAGCAUCUCUCCCAUCCUUUGUAUCCACAGUCAUUUUCUCGAGCGAAAUAUUGUGUCAAGAGAGUAAUUACCUCAUUACAUGUCCCAUCAUACAUAGGACAAGAUCAAUUUUGUGUUCUGUCAACCUUUUUCUUAUUUAUUAGAAAUGUUUAUUUUAUUUUUUUAUAAGAAAAAAUAAAAAUAANNNNNNNNNNNNNNNNNNNNNNNNNNNNNNNNNNNNNNNNNNNNNNNNNNNNNNNNNNNNNNNNNNNNNNNNNNNNNNNNNNNNNNNNNNNNNNNNNNNNGAAGAGUAAGAUGAAAAAUAUAGUCAUAGACCUAUGGAGACACAGGCAUCUUGCUAGUUGAACAUAUUCGGACAAUCAUCUCCAAAUACAUUGCGGACUAGUUUCUUACUCAACAAUUCUCUAUAAUUACUUAUUCAUUUCUUUGGAUUACUCUAUAAGCAAUUUCAACUAUCUUUUCCUUGUCAGAUAUGAAGCGGGGCUUAUCCAACGUAUCGUACAGGAGAUCUCAACUCAACUAAGUCGAACACCAUUAUAUGUAGACAAGGAUCUGGUGGGGAUAGAUUUCCGAGUACAAAAGCUUAAAACAAUCUUAAAUCUACAGUCCGAGGAUGAUGUUCUUAUGGUGGGAUUAUGGGGACAGGGAGGUGUAGGGAAGACUACCCUUGCUAAAGCCAUUCAUAAUGCUAUCUUUAGAGACUUUCAAGGUGCUAGUUUCUUGGAAUGCAUUCGAGAAAAUUCCAUAAAUUCCAAUGGUUUGGUUCUUUUGCAAGAAAAUUUGCUUUUGCAAUUAUUACUAGGGAAGGAAUUACCAAUCUACAAUAUCGGUGGAGGAAGCCAGUUAAUUAAACAAAGACUUUGUAAUAAGAAAGUUCUCAUUAUUCUUGAUGAUGUUGAUAAUGCACGCCAGUUAAAUGCUUUAGCCAAAGAGCGAGAGUGGUUCGGUGAAGGAAGUAGGAUAAUUAUCACAACAAGAAAUAAGCAUCUGCUAACUUCUCAUGGGAUAAAUCCAGAUCAUAUAUAUGAAGUUAAAGCUCUUAAGGAGGGUGAAGCUCUUGAACUUUUAAGAAAGCAUGCUUUUCGAGGAAAUCAAGAGAUAGAAAUCAGCAGCAAUCUUGUUCAUCAAGUUUUGCAUUAUGCAAGAGGCCUUCCUUUGGCUCUUCAGGUGUUGGGUGCUCUCUUAUGUGGUAGAGGAGAAGAUGAAUGGGAAAGUACCUUGCAAAAACUUGCCGAAACUCCUGAUGGGGAGAUCAAUGCUGUGUUAAAAGUAAGUUAUGAUGGAUUGGAGCUUUAUGCAAAGGAGAUUUUUCUGCACAUUGCCUGUUUCUUCAGGGGGAGGAGUACGGAAUACAUUAAGAAAGUUCUUGAUAGUUGUGAUUUUCACACGACUAUGGGAUAAAAGUUCUCAUUGAGCGCUGCUUGAUUAGUGAAGAGGUAGGGAAAAUACAAAUGCAUGACUUAAUUCAAUUAAUGGGUAUGGAUAUUGUUAAAGAUGAAGAUCGUGAUUAUCCCAUAAACCGCAGUAGAUUAUGGCUUCGUGAUGAUGUUCUUGAUGUUCUUUCAGAAGAUAAGGUAAGACUUGUUGGUGUAUUUAUUCACAAUCAAUUCUAAUAUUUGCCUUUUUUUAUUAUAGUUAUAAAUAAACCUAAAUAUGUUCGAAAAACUAUACAGGAAACAAAAGCAAUAAAAGCCAUAGUCUUGCAGCUACCAGAGCCAAAAGAUAUCUAUAUUGGUCCUGAUGCUUUCACAAAGAUGAAAAACUUGAAGUUGCUCAUCUUGCUUAAUGUAGAUAAUUCUAUUCAAGGUCCCAUUCAUCUCCCUAAUGGGUUAAGGUGGUUUGAAUGGCCUAAUUGUGGUUUGACUUUAGAAUUUAGCCAUGGUCCAAAGAAAUUAGUUGGACUUGAUAUGCGGAAUAGCAAGAUCAAGGAAGCGCCCAGACACUUUAAGGUACGUAUUUACUCGGUGCUUUUUCAUUACUUAUAUUAAAUCUGAUGAUGUUUGUUAUUGUUCUUAGGAAAACGUCUCCAAUUACUACAUUUUUUUAUACAUAUUAUUUCACCUUUUACUAGCACGGGACAAUAUUUUGAUUUGUGCCCUACUGGACAGCAGAAUCGUUCAUAAGUAAUUUAUUUAGGAAAAGAGUAUACAUAUUCAAAUAUACAUGCAUGCAUACGUACGUACGUACGUACAUACAUAUAUGCAUAUGUACAUACACAUUGACCACAAAAAAAUAGAAGAAGGUACUUGUUGUUGGAAAAUACGGCUUCAAAUCGGAUAGAGUAAUCAAGUCGGACUUUGAGGCGUGAUAUUACUUUUUUUUAAGGAUUUAUUUACGCUACAAAAUUGCUAAUGGUCACCGACAAAUAUCCUCAGGAUACAACAAAGUCUCAAAUGAAAAUACGCAAUAGCAAUUCUAAUAUUCCUCCAUAAUCUCUCUAGAAAACAAUUGAAAAGAUGACUGUAGUUUUGAAAAAAAAAAAAACUUGAAAAUGACUCAAUUCUCAUUCAUGCCAAAAACUAACAUAUACAUAAAAAUAGGUCUUAACGUAUAUAAGCGACUCUUCACGAAAGGUUGCAAGUAAACAAACGCAACCAUUCAGGAAAGAUUGCAAAAUGAAUAAAUGCAACCUUUCGUAAAAGAUUGUGAAUUGAACAAGUAUAACCUCAAAGGUUGUCCUGAAGAGACAUGUAAAAUUCAGAAUAAUAAUAAAAAAAAUAGUAAUUUUUAAAAAAAUAAAAUUCAGAAUUUCAGAAUUUCCUAAAUUCCUUAAUAAACGAAAAAAAAAAACCCUUUAUACUAAUCAAUGUUAAUAAGAUAACUGUACAACAUUAAAAAUACAAUGGGACUUCAUAAUUUCCUAAAUUACUUAAUUAAAAAAAAACCUUUCAACUAAUAAAUGUUAAUAAGAUAACUGUACAACAGAAAAUAAAAAUAAAUGGGUUAGUGUUAAUUAAAUCGCGAGCGCACAAACGUGCUAAGUGCUAAGUGCACCUAAUAAUUGUACACCCGCACACGGGUAUCGUAAAGUCUAGCUCACAUGCGAACCUUUUCUUUGAACGCACUAUAAAAGGGUCAUACUUAUAAAUUGGCUCAUCUCCUCCAUUCCUAUGUGGGACAAGAAAAAGCAUCUUUGUUUGUUUUACAAAUAAACAACCAACACUUGUUCAUCAAAGUUUUGUGAUCAUGCUUAUGAUUUAUGAUGUGUGAAAAAUCAAAGUCAGAUCUUCUAAUUGAAUAUAUAUCUCUUUUUUCUUUUCUUUUUUGCUGAAUAUUUCUUGCAGGACCUUCAAAAUUUGAAGUUCAUUAAUUUUAGUUCAUGCCAAUCACUGCUUUGUACGCCGAACCUCGAUGUUACUCCAAAUCUCAAGGAAUUGGAUCUCAGUUGGUGCAAAAACUUGGAGCGUGUACACGAAUCAGUUGCAUAUCAUGGCAAUUUAC
rnacentral:lncRNA from 1 species